UCGGUCGGGCGGGUGCGGAGGGAGGGAGGGAGGCCUAUUCGAGCCUCGCGGAAAAGAAGGAGGCGCGAAGGGAUUAAAGUUACCGAAAGACGCACGCGGGUGGGGGCGCCAAACUCUCUGAAGCAAAAGUUUGGUGGGGCGCGGCGCCAGGUGUGCGGUGCGCGAUGGAGUCGAGUCGAGUCGAGGAGGGAUAGAUAUGCGGGUGCUCGUCAUAUAUUCGUCGGAGCGGAAGAUUAGGAGCUCCGGUGUGGGCUGGGCUCUCGUUCUUUGUUCGUUGCUUCAAAGACAAAGCUCGUUCCUCACCAUCUCUAAAGUUUGCUCUCCAACAGUCAAUUGGGCUCCCAACUCCUCGACUUUCUUUACCGCUGCUGGUUCGACAGGGGCGAGAGCGGACACGCCGGCCUGCUGUUCGCCGCGCGCGGCCGCCGCAGCCACCACGAGUUCCACGUCCUGUCGAGGCGCCGGCUCCGCAUGCUCGUCAUGGACGCCGACGGCCUCGACAGGUCCGACACCUUCCGGCGCACGACGGGCCCGACCGGGCUGCUCCCGGACCAGUUCGGGCGCGACGUCCGCGACCUCUAGUGGAAGGCGAAGCAGAGGCAGCGCGAGAGGCUGGGCGCCCCGAUGCGGUCGGCGGCGCUCGAGCGCGCCGCCGAGCUCAGCGAGCGGCGCGCCCUCCACCUCCACCACCGGCGCGAGACGCUCCCCCUGGCGCCGCGCGGCGACCGGCUCGACUCGAGCAGGCUCCCGCACGAGGGCGCCCUCGCCUCGCGGAGCCUCCACACCGUCGACGGCCCCUCGCGACGGCGUCACCACACAGUACGGUCACUCCGGUCGAACGAGGGCGCGGAGCGGCGCACCCUGUUCAGGCUCUGGGACCGCCGGUUCUAGUUCAUGCGGUAGCUCUCGGUCUACGUCUCGACGCGGAAGAGGGAGCCGGAGCCGCUCGGGUUGGAGCGGCCGUUCGGCCACGACCUCAUGCUGGCGCAGCACGUCGGCGUGCUCGACGUGCGGGAGUUCGGGUCCCAGCGCGGCCUCCGGUUCUGGCCGAUGGCGUUGGCCCUCUUGCUCCGCGAGAAGUGGUAGGUGGUCUAAGAACUUAGGACCGACACGCGACGCAGAGUCGAAGAAUGGGCGGACUUGUCGGCCUAGCUCCGCUUCCGGACCCUCCGCCGCCGCUCGCUGACGACCUAGGACCUCGCCUAGACCUUCGACGAGCGGCUGUAGCUCCUGGACGUGGACGAGUACCUGGGCCUGCUGAAGGACGCCGAGUUCUCGGUCGAGCGCUAUGCCGGCCGCGGCCUGCCGUGGCUGCGCAGGAAGACGAAGGCCAGGUCUCGCGACGACGUGCGGCGCUUGCGGUGCUCCCUGUAGUUCUUCGACCACGGCACCCACUAGCCGCACCUCCGCCUGGGGUUACCGCCCGGCUCCCACGUCCUCCGCCGGUACUCCGACAUGGUGCCGGCCUCCGCGCCGCUCCCGCUCCUUCGGCCGUUCUAGCUCGACGACGUCCGAAAGGUCCGGCACCUCCGCCGGCACGCCUCCAAGAAGAAGCGCAUGGCCGUCCAGCACCGCCGCCACACACCGUGCCGCCUCCGCAGCCCGUUGGCCCGCGACAAGCACGGCCGCCUCCCCUGCCUGGGCGACAGCGUCUACAAGGACCUCGGCGGGAUGAAGGGGUCGGAGCUGCGGCGGUUCUGCAAGAACCGGCUGAUGACCCAAGUCGUGUACCGGCGGCGGAGACAAGGCAGUCCCGCGUCGACUUUCAAACCUCGCCGGUUUAUGGCGCCGAUCUACCCAACGGUGAACGGUGCGGCUGCUGGGCACUAAAACGUCCGAAUCUUCAAUGGAUGCUAGGGGUCGGACGUUAGGAUGUCACUAAGUAAAGUUAUACCAACCAGCUACUUCUCUUGUCAAGGCAUUCACUUGUAAUAGAGACUUACCAAAACUCCCUUGUGAGAAACCACGCAUGUUAGGGCGGACGCUUAGGGGGAAGCGAGAAUACGUGGGAGGGUUCGCUUACUGCGUUUGCAGGUGAAAGUACGUAGUAGUGUUCGUUUUUGGGGUGAGAUACCACCUCGUACAGUUAAUGUUUAGUAC
rnacentral:rRNA from 1 species